GACGAACGCUGGCGGCGUGCUUAACACAUGCAAGUCGAACGAAGUGGCGAACGGGUGAGUAACGCGUAAUCAACCUGCCCUUCAGAGGGGGACAACAGUUGGAAACGACUGCUAAUACCGCAUACUGUAGUAGGGGCUUGCGUCUGAUUAGCUAGUUGGAGGGGUAACGGCCCACCAAGGCGAUGAUCAGUAGACGGUCUGAGAGGAGGAACGGCAACAUUGGGACUGAGACACGGCCCAGAAUCCUACGGGAGGCAGCAGUGGGGAAUCUUCCGAAAUGGAGGAAAGGCUGACGGAGCAACGCCGCGGGAGGGAGGACGGCCUUCGGGUUGUAAAGCUCUGUUAAGCGGGACGCGGUACCGGAAUAGAAAGCCACGGCUAACUACGUGCCAGCCGCCGCGGUAAUAC
rnacentral:rRNA from 1 species